rnacentral:sRNA from 1 species
AUUCUGCCCAUGCAGGGAAGGAUGAGAAGCUUCAACCAAGGUUCGACUUGAGCGCCAGCGAGAGAGCGUUGCCGCAGGCAACGACCCGAAGGGCGAAGCGCGCAGCGCUGAGUAAUCCUUCCCCCACCACCA